rnacentral:rRNA from 1 species
AUUGAACGCUAGCGGCAAGCUUAACACAUGCAAGUCGAACGGUAACUCUUAGUGCUUGCACUAAAAGACGAGUGGCGGACGGGUGCGUAACGCGUAUGCAAUCUACCUUAUACUAGGGUAUAGCCCAGAGAAAUUUGGAUUAAUCCCCUAUAACAUCAUGAAAUCGCAUGGUUUUAUGAUUAAAGCUUCGGCGGUAUAAGAUGAGCAUGCGUCCUAUUAGUUUGUAGGUGAGGUAACGGCUCACCUAGGCUACGAUAGGUAGGGGCCCUGAGAGGGGGAUCCCCCACACUGGUACUGAGACACGGACCAGACUCCUACGGGAGCAGCAGUGAGGAAUAUUGGACAAUGGACGAAAGUCUGAUCCAGCUAUGCCGCGUGCAGGAUGACAGCCC